rnacentral:rRNA from 1 species
CCUACGGGCGGCUGCAGUGGGGAAUAUUGGACAAUGGGGGGAACCCUGAUCCAGCCAUGCCGCGUGUGUGAAGAAGGCCCUCGGGUUGUAAAGCACUUUCAGUGAGGAAGAACGCCUGGUGGUUAAUACCCAUCAGGAAAGACAGCACUCACAGAAGAAGCACCGGCUAACUCCGUGCCAGCAGCCGCGGUAAUACGGAGGGUGCGAGCGUUAAUCGGAAUUACUGGGCGUAAAGCGCGCGUAGGUGGCUUGAUAAGCCGGUUGUGAAAGCCCCGGGCUCAACCUGGGAACGGCAUCCGGAACUGUCAAGCUAGAGUGCAGGAGAGGAAGGUAGAAUUCCCGGUGUAGCGGUGAAAUGCGUAGAGAUCGGGAGGAAUACCAGUGGCGAAGGCGGCCUUCUGGACUGACACUGACACUGAGGUGCGAAAGCGUGGGUAGCAAACAGGAUUAGAUACCCCAGUAGUC